GGAAAUUUGAACCAAUCACUGAAAAUUCCACGACACUCGUUAUUUGGAUCGUAGGCCAAUAAUCUGUGUAAUCUGUACUGUUGUUCACACUUGCAACCAUCUCGGCAAUUCAUUUGUUUGUCCUCGUGCCUGGCAACAAAUAAACUUUUCACUUACGUGCACUUUUCCCAAUGGACGUAUUGCUCGAAGGGAUAAAGAUUUAAUAGAGCCAGGACUUCACCACGAGUGUUAUUCGCCCAAAAUGGAGCCACCACUUCUUCCUUGACUGGACAAGCAUUUCUGGAAAUUAUUAUUUUCAAUGAAGGAAUUGAUUUUGGAUUUGGAAUUAAUUAUCGACGACUAUUAAAAUUCGAGAAGCAGAAUAAUCACGUCACAUUGGAUGAUCACUUGAAACGCACAAGAAGAAGAAGAAGAGAUGAAAAAACAAUCGAGGUUCAUCGACUCACCAAAAGAGUCAAUAAUACGAAAACUCUCAUAUCUUCC